GACGAACGCUGGCGGCGUGCUUAGCACAUGCGAGUCGAACGGAAAGGCCCUGCUUGCAGGGUACUCGAGUGGCGAACGGGUGAGUAACUCGUGGGUGAUCUGCCCUGCACUUCGGGAUAAGCCUGGGAAACUGGGUCUACUACCGGCUAGGAGCCAUUUUUAGUGUGAUGGUUGGAAAGUUUUUUCGGUGUAGGAUGAGCUCGGGGCCUAUCAGCUUGUUGGUGGGGUAAUGGCCUACCAAGGCGGCGACGGGUAGCCGGCCUGAGAGGGUGGACGGCCACGUUGGGACUGAGAUACGGCCCAGACUCCUACGGGAGGCAGCAGUGGAGAAUAGUGCACAAUGGGCGCAAGCCUGAUGCAGCGACGCCGCGUGGGGGAUGACGGCCUUCGGGUUGUAAACUACUUUCGCUAGAGACGAAGCUAUUGUGACGGUACCUAGAGAAGAAGCACCGGCUAACUACGUG
rnacentral:rRNA from 1 species